UUUCUUCCCUGUAGCUCGUACACUUUCUUUGAAAAUCGAUCUAUUUGAAGAAAAACAGCUGUUUUUCUCGAGUUGGGUGUGGGGUGGUGGAGGGUGAGAAGAAAGGAAGACCUUUUGUCUAAAAAAGACUGAAAGCCGCCACUAAAAACUAGAUUAAAAACUGGAAAACAAGCCCUUAGCCGGUUCAAGCCAAACACCUACGUUGAGUCGGUGGUCUUUUCUGUGUCGGUUGGGAUGGCUGAUUUUGCCUUUUGUUUGAUUUGACUUUGUGUUUUCGCCUUUUGUUUCUUAAUGACGAUCACACCAUUGGUAAAUCCUGAGCAGUAAACAGUCCUCAGCGAAGCCGCCUUUUUGCCAGCCCAACCCUGGAAAGUUUGCAGUCGUGGAAGGAGCAGAAAUACCACGAGUGUAACUUACAAAGAAGGUCUUGGCCGGAGACCGGAGCAAUGUCUGUGUUAUCCCCCACUGUAGACAAUCGUUGCUUCCUCUGGACAUCUGGAGCAGGCCCAAUUUGACCGACAGCCUUCCCCGCUAAGGUAGGUAAGAUUAGCCCUUUCCCCAAGUUCAGAGCACGUUGCCGGGCUUUUGACCUGCGGCCUUCGAAGGGCGGCUUGGGAUCCCCAAACCCGCUGGGCUGGUUCUGCAGCCCCUCCCCCACGCUGAUGUGGCGCUUGUGUGUGUGUGAAAUGGGCGGCCUGCUGGGCCCAUCCAGCCCCGCCUGUCAGCUUCUGCUGUCGGGCGUUUAGGGCGGGCGAUUCUCAUUGCCGAAUUUAGCAGCUUACUAGAGCAAGGACUACCAAGUAUUUCCCAGUGGUGUGGUUUAUGGUGGCUUGGGAGGGCCCCGGAAACUUCUGAAGACCGGGACUGCUGUCAGGUUUGCCAGUAGUGCUUCAGACAUUCUCCCUGAACCCCAUUGUGUGUGGGGGGGGGACCAGCUGAGCCCCGCUUCUGAUGUCUGCCUUGCUGGAUAGGCGAAGCAGCAAACGAUCUGAAGUGUGGUAGCCAGCUUCCCGAGAGAGCAAAGAUUUCCUUGGCUUCUCC
rnacentral:lncRNA from 1 species